rnacentral:rRNA from 1 species
CUACGGGUCGCUCCAGUGAGGAAUAUUGCACAAUGGGGGGAACCCUGAUGCAGCAACGCCGCGUGGAGGAUGACGCAUUUCGGUGUGUAAACUCCUUUUAUAUGUCAAGAAAAUGACGGUAGCAUAUGAAUAAGCACCGGCUAACUCCGUGCCAGCAGCCGCGGUAAUGACGGAGGGUGCAAGCGUUACUCGGAAUCACUGGGCGUAAAGGACGCGUAGGCGGGUUGGAAAGUCAGGUGUGAAAUCCUACAGCUUAACUGUAGAACUGCACUUGAAACUUCUAAUCUAGAGUAUGGGAGGGGGAGAUGGAAUUAGUGGUGUAGGGGUAAAAUCCGUAGAUAUCACUAGGAAUACCUAAAGCGAAGGCGAUCUCCUGGAACAUUACUGACGCUAAGGCGUGAAGGCGUGGGGAGCAAACAGGAUUAGAUACCCUAGUAGUC